AGAGUUUGAUCCUGGCUCAGGAUGAACGCUGGCGGCGUGCUUAACACAUGCAAGUCGAACGGGAACCCCUGGAUUCGUCUGGGGGGGAGAGUGGCGAACGGGUGAGUAACACGUAGGUGACCUGCCUCGAAGACGGGGAUAACCACUGGAAACGGUGGCUAAUACCCGAUAGUCUCGACGAUUCGGUUCGUCGAGUAAAUGUUCCGGCGCUUCGAGAGGGGCCUGCGGCCCAUCAGCUAGUUGGUAGGGUAAUGGCCUACCAAGGCAAAGACGGGUAGGGACGUGAGAGCGUGACCCCCCACACUGGCACUGAGACACGGGCCAGACUCCUACGGGAGGCAGCAGUGAGGAAUAUUGCGCAAUGGGCGAAAGCCAGACGCAGCAACGCCGCGUGGGUGAUGAAGGCCUUCGGGUCGUAAAACCCUUUUCUGGGAGAAGAGCAAGGACGGUAUCCCAGGAAUAAGCCUCGGCUAACUAUGUGCCAGCAGCCGCGGUAACACAUAGGAGGCGAGCGUUAUCCGGAUUUACUGGGCGUAAAGAGCGUUGAGGCGGCCUUGUAAGUUGGACGUGAAAGCUCCCGGCUCAACUGGGAGAGGUCGUUCAAUACUGCAAGGCUUGAGGACAGCAGAGGGGGGUGGAAUUCCCGGUGUAGUGGUGAAAUGCGUAGAUACCGGGAGGAACACCAGUGGCGAAGGCGGCCCCCUGGGCUGCUCCUGACGCUGAAUGCGAAAGCUAGGGUAGCAAACGGGAUUAGAAACCCCGGUAGUCCUAGCCGUAAACGAUGGAUACUAGGUGUAGGGGGUGAAAAUUCCCUCUGUGCCGAAGCUAACGCGUUAAGUAUCCCGCCUGGGGAGUACGGCCGCAAGGCUAAAACUCAAAGGAAUUGACGGGUCUCCGCACAAGCAGCGGAGCGUGUGGUUUAAUUCGAUCGACGCGAAGAACCUUACCAGGGCUUGACAUGCAGGUAGUAGUGAAGCGAAAGCGGAACGAUCCCUCGGGAAGCCUGUACAGGUGCUGCAUGGCUGUCGUCAGCUCGUGCCGUGAGGUGUUAGGUUAAGUCCUGUAACGAGCGCAACCCUCACCGUUAGUUACAUGUGUCUAGCGGAACUGCCCGGCAAAACUGGGAGGAAGGUGGGGAUGACGUCAAGUCAGCAUGGCCUUUAUGUCCUGGGCUACACACACGCUACAAUGGCCGGUACAAUGGGUCGCCAAGCCGUGAGGCGGAGCCAAUCCUCUAAAGCCGGUCUCAGUUCGGAUUGUAGGCUGCAACUCGCCUGCAUGAAGCUGGAGUUGCUAGUAACCGCAGGUCAGCUACACUGCGGUGAAUACGUUCCCGGAGAUUGUACACACCGCCCGUCACGUCAUGGGAGCUGGUAACACCUGAAGCCGGUGGGCUAACCUAACGGAGGCAGCCGUCGAAGGUGGGACUGGUGACUGGGACGAAGUCGUAACAAGGUA
rnacentral:rRNA from 1 species